CCUACGGGUGGCAGCAGUGGGGAAUAUUGCACAAUGGGGGAAACCCUGAUGCAGCGACGCCGCGUGAGCGAGGAAGUAUUUCGGUAUGUAAAGCUCUCUCAGCAGGGACGAAAAAAGCCGUUACCUGACUCCGACGCCCCGGCUAACUACGUGCAAGCAGCCGCGGUAAUCCGUAGGGGGCAAGCGUUAUCCGGAUUUACUGGGUGUAACGGGGGCGUAGACGGCAAGGCAAGCCAGAAGUGAAAGGGCAGGGCUCAACCCUGUACAUGCUUUUGGAACUGUGGUGCUAGAGUGCAGGAGAGGUAAGUGGAAUUCCUAGUGUAGCGGUGAAAUGCGUAGAUAUUAGGAGGAACACCAGUGGCGAAGGCGGCUUACUGGACUGUAACUGACGUUGAGGCUCGAAAGCGUGGGGAGCAAACAGGAUUAGAUACCCUAGUAGUC
rnacentral:rRNA from 1 species